UGCGCAGGCGCCAGCUGGUAAGCCCAGUGGUGCGAAGAGCCCCAGUGCGUCAGAGCGGCGGCGGCGGCGGCGACGAUGACGAUCCCUGGGCUGGCUGACUGAGGUGCGGUCGGGCCAUGUCCCCAGGCAGCUGCUGAACUGGAGCGCCCGAGGAUGUCUGCGCUGAGGAAGAGUUAUGAAAAUUUGAAGUGGCUUUGGAGACACCAUUACAUUGUUCUUUAAAUUCUGUGAAUUUAUAAACGGUACCAUCCCAGCAAACCCUGCCCGACGUG